rnacentral:tRNA from 1 species
AAAUAAGAAGCAAUUAAUUGCAUUUAGUUUCGACCUAAAAAUUAGGUAUUUUUUACCCUUAUUUU